AGUGACAAAAGUAAACAAAGUAAUGGAAAAUAUUAUUGAAAUUAAAAAUAAUCAUUCACUUUUGGGACAUAUUUUAGGUAUUAAUGAGAUCAUUGGUAACCUCAUAAAAAAAUUUGAAAUUAAAGGAAUCUACAAAUUUUUAAUAGUAAUAUUAAUUUGUUUCUUCAUUUUUAUUUUAAAUGUUCAGUCAUUUAAAAGACCAUUUCUCAAUCCUGUUUGUUAAUAAUGUUGGGGUUUAAAUGGAGGUGGCAGGGGUGGGAUAGGUGUCAUCAGGGCCACCAGGCACAGGAUUGAGAAAUUAUACAUAUCAUAUUUAAUCACUAUACUAUAAUAAUAUUUUCCAUUGUUGAGCAACUGUCCGGAGGGAGAUCUGUCUUGCCCACAUUUAAAUCUAGUGUCUUAUGUUGGUCUGGAAUAAUUAGAAGCUUCAAUUAGAUGUUGGAGGAAUGGAAUUGAAAGCUUUGAAACCUCUCCAGACUGCAUAUACGUCACUUCUGGGUCAAGUACCAAGUCCAAGACCUCCAUUGGUUCGAUGGCCAGAUCCUGGUCUUAUGUGACUAUGUGACAUUACUAGGAACAUGGAACCACCUGGUCAUUGCUAGAGUUUUAUAUCACCUUCGGCUGUUGAGCUCAACAAUUGAAUUGGCUAACAGGAAUUCAAGAAAUCAAAAUUUCUCACUUAGUUCAGGGAAAAAAAUGGUGUUUAAUUACUUUUCUUCCAAUAAAUGAUCAACAUGCCAA